AAGAUUUUAAGUUAAAAAAACUAUAUGCCUUCAAAGCAUAAUAUAAUAAUUUAUUAAGUCUUA
rnacentral:tRNA from 1 species